AAUAAGAAAAAAGUUCGUACUGCUGUGUGCGUGGGUCGAUCCAAGCCUCUAACGCAUCGUCUUUUUAGCGAUGUAAAUUAUUUUGUGUAGACAAACAAAGAAAAUUAGCUUCCACAUUUGUUAAAAUAUUGUUGAAAACUUAUAUUAACUGUCAAAAUUUAUCAGAUUUGUUGUUGCUUAUGAUAAAAUUUUCUUGCAAGCUAAUUGUCUCUACUUAACCUCAAUACGCAACGUAAUGAUUGAAAUGGGAAGGACCCGAAUUGGGCCAAAUUUGCAGACUUGAAAAAAAUACGAAAUACCAUAUCCGAAAUCCGAAAUCCGAUAUCCAAAAACCAAAUAAUCAAAUAAUCAAAAUUGAAUGUUGCAAAAAUAUGUUAAUUAUGUUUUACCUUUUGUAAAUUUUACAAAAGAAGUGAUGGUGAAGAAGAAGAGGCAGCCAGAUGCGCACGACGAUGGCUCAUCAACCGAUAGCACCGAUGAGAGAGGUUUACAAACUUCACCAACAGCAGGCAGCUGCCAGCAUGUA